rnacentral:lncRNA from 1 species
AUGGUAACGAUAGGCCGCGCUUGAGGAUGGAAACUACUGCAAGUUUUGUUACCUCCUCAAACUGCGAGAAAUGAAGAGAAAAUCUUACCUAUCAGAACAUGGCUGCACACGUCUGUAAUCCCAACAUUUGUGAGAUGAAGGCAGCAGGAUCAGGAAUUCGAGGCCAGCCUUGAGAACGUGUCUCAAGAGAAAUAACAAAAGUGAAAAUACGAGCUACCUUUAAGCUGCAUGACGUCAUCUCUUCCCGAGUGUGCCUUUGCCGCGUGUCCACCUUAAACGGUAAAGAGUAGGAAGAAACUAUUUCCUCAGGGCUCCUCAAUAUACAGCGUUAAAAUUGUUUUUGCUUGCUUCUUAGUCUCACUACCAUCCAUACUUGUCACGGUCGCAAUCCUCCCGCUGCACCCCUAAGUGCUCCCUUGAAUGUUUUGUGUAACAGAUGCUCUCAGAACACAAGCCAGAGAGAAAUCUGCUGCUACAGAGUGUGCAUCGCGGAACCUACAGAGUUACAUUUAUUUACUCAUUAAAGAUAGAUAUAUUCCCCGAAUCGAAUGCCCCUGCGUACAAAUUCCCAACUGGUUCCUCCAACUCAGGGUCUCUCACCAGAGCCUUAUCAACUUCAGUGCUAGAACAGAAAAGUGUACAGCCUUGAGAAUGGCGCCACCAAAUGGUACAAACCAGGGAUGUCCUGCAGUUAAUGAAGCCUGGACUCUGGCCGCCCUAACAAGCUACCUGUCCUCCAUAACACAGCUAAAAAAGACAACAGUGAAAGAAAUUUAUUCAAUGAGACUGCACUAGGAAAAAGAACUAAGGGGCUGGUUCAGUAAACCCCCUAAGUCUAUCUUUGGAGCCUUGACAUAAGUAGAAGGCUCAAGGUGUGAUCUUGCCCAUGGUAAACACAUCUUGGUUGGUCCUGCAAAGCAAACUGACAAGUUGUCAGAACUAAGAACCAAGCUCUCCUGAUGGUUUGCACCCAGAAACCCAAUCUCUUCCUUCUCCAGUGAGACUCUUGAGGAAAUCUAGUUCUUUGGGGCCCAUUAUCCUGUUAGUCCACUAGUCAAAAGGAGGGGCACACGUGUCUCUCCUCAGAAUAUCUUCACUCCUCUCAGGAUGGUCACACAGCUUCAGCUGAGACAUCCGUGUGGCCAAAGUAUUUCGGAGCCUACACCAGUCAUUUAUACACUAAGAUCUUAUCUCCUAAUUCUCUCCCCAGGUAACCUUGCCCUCGGGAGCUCUCAAUCCCUUACUGAGCUCUACCCUGCCCGCCUCCUUUGAUAAAAAUGAAAAAUAAAUGUCUUCAUCUACAGUUCUGAGGCAAGAGAGACUCCCAGAGGUGAACUUCCUUCAUUCCCUCUAGCUGCUACCAAAGUAUCCACCUGCAACUGAAGUCUUCCUUUUCCUGUCCUGAAAAGAAACGUUUUGUCCUCUCAGGCUAAUCCUGGCCCUGGAAUUAAGGCAUCACCCUUCUUAUCCAUUUUGAGACUCACCCGCUUUUUUAAAAAAAAUGAAUGCAACCCCUCAUCUUUCUCCUCAAUAAAAUAAGUCUCUGUG